rnacentral:piRNA from 1 species
UCGAUUUCCAUUCUCUUUCUUUGGAGAU